UUGGCUUCAUGGUGAAGAGACAAGUUCAAGAACACUUGUCUUUGUGCAUGCUUCUUCUAGGCCAUUUGUCUUUCAAUCCUUUCAUCUUUUGGCCUAUAAAUUCGACUAUCCUUGCAGCCCUAUCAUCACACAAGCCCUCAGACCUGACCUGAGCCUCAGAGCACGUAAGAAAAGCUCUAAAUCCUCUCUCAAAGUUCUUAACUUAACCAUUCUUUCAUCUUCUUUGUUCUUCACUAAAACCACUUCAAAUAUCUCCAAAAACCUUCCAAUCAUGCUUCUGGACACGUAAGGAUCAGAUCUGGAGAUUUUAGCAUGAUUCUGGACACGAAUUCAUGCGAUCUGGGCAUUUGUUCAUCAUAUUCAUCGGACGGAUAAAUUUCCCGGCGAGUUCAUCGAAAAAUUCGACCUUUUAAACUGGUUUUUCUCCCACGGAAGACCUCCAAUCAUCAAGCCACGACCACCACCGUGAUUCUGGAAGCGAGAAAAAGGCGAAUCCGUGUACAGCUCGUCUCCGGCGACGAUCGCCGCCGUGACCGCCGCCGCUGUAACAUCUUCUCCGGCGCACUGCUCGCCCGAGUUUUCCAGAAAUUUCCAGAAUCGAGGAAGCUGAGGGAACUAAACGAGGCAAACAAAUAGCAAGGACUCAAGGUAAGGGAGGGAGAGGUCAUCAACUCAGGAUGGGGGAAUAGUGCGAAUAAAUGGGUGUUGGACCCUCCUUAGGUCCUUGUUUGUUACUUGAUUUUUUGUGCUUAUUGUGUUAAUUCUUGAUACUUGUGGAUCAUGAUGACUUGAGAUGAUAUUGAUGAGAUAUGUGCUAUGUGAAGAUGCAUGUUUGUUGUGAUAA